AGAGUUUGAUCAUGGCUCAGAUUGAACGCUGGCGGCAGGCCUAACACAUGCAAGUCGAACGGUAACAGGAAACAGCUUGCUGUUUCGCUGACGAGUGGCGGACGGGUGAGUAAUGUCUGGGAAACUGCCUGAUGGAGGGGGAUAACUACUGGAAACGGUAGCUAAUACCGCAUAACGUCGCAAGACCAAAGAGGGGGACCUUCGGGCCUCUUGCCAUCGGAUGUGCCCAGAUGGGAUUAGCUUGUUGGUGGGGUAACGGCUCACCAAGGCGACGAUCCCUAGCUGGUCUGAGAGGAUGACCAGCCACACUGGAACUGAGACACGGUCCAGACUCCUACGGGAGGCAGCAGUGGGGAAUAUUGCACAAUGGGCGCAAGCCUGAUGCAGCCAUGCCGCGUGUAUGAAGAAGGCCUUCGGGUUGUAAAGUACUUUCAGCGGGGAGGAAGGGAGUAAAGUUAAUACCUUUACUCAUUGACGUUACCCGCAGAAGAAGCACCGGCUAACUCCGUGCCAGCAGCCGCGGUAAUACGGAGGGUGCAAGCGUUAAUCGGAAUUACUGGGCGUAAAGCGCACGCAGGCGGUUUGUUAAGUCAGAUGUGAAAUCCCCGGGCUCAACCUGGGAACUGCAUCUGAUACUGGCAAGCUUGAGUCUCGUAGAGGGGGGUAGAAUUCCAGGUGUAGCGGUGAAAUGCGUAGAGAUCUGGAGGAAUACCGGUGGCGAAGGCGGCCCCCUGGACGAAGACUGACGCUCAGGUGCGAAAGCGUGGGGAGCAAACAGGAUUAGAUACCCUGGUAGUCCACGCCGUAAACGAUGUCGACUUGGAGGUUGUGCCCUUGAGGCGUGGCUUCCGGAGCUAACGCGUUAAGUCGACCGCCUGGGGAGUACGGCCGCAAGGUUAAAACUCAAAUGAAUUGACGGGGGCCCGCACAAGCGGUGGAGCAUGUGGUUUAAUUCGAUGCAACGCGAAGAACCUUACCUGGUCUUGACAUCCACAGAACUUUCCAGAGAUGGAUUGGUGCCUUCGGGAGCUGUGAGACAGGUGCUGCAUGGCUGUCGUCAGCUCGUGUUGUGAAAUGUUGGGUUAAGUCCCGCAACGAGCGCAACCCUUAUCCUUUGUUGCCAGCGGUCCGGCCGGGAACUCAAAGGAGACUGCCAGUGAUAAACUGGAGGAAGGUGGGGAUGACGUCAAGUCAUCAUGGCCCUUACGACCAGGGCUACACACGUGCUACAAUGGCGCAUACAAAGAGAAGCGACCUCGCGAGAGCAAGCGGACCUCAUAAAGUGCGUCGUAGUCCGGAUUGGAGUCUGCAACUCGACUCCAUGAAGUCGGAAUCGCUAGUAAUCGUGGAUCAGAAUGCCACGGUGAAUACGUUCCCGGGCCUUGUACACACCGCCCGUCACACCAUGGGAGUGGGUUGCAAAAGAAGUAGGUAGCUUAACCUUCGGGAGGGCGCUUACCACUUUGUGAUUCAUGACUGGGGUGAAGUCGUAACAAGGUAACCGUAGGGGAACCUGCGGUUGGAUCACCU
rnacentral:rRNA from 6 species